ensembl:lncRNA
GGGGUAAUAACAUUGGUGCUAGGGAGUGGGGUAAUAACAUUGGUGCUAGGGAGUGGGGUAAUAACAUCGGUGCUAGGGAGUGGGGUAAUAAUAGGGCAUUGGUGCUAGGGAGUGGGGUAAUAACAUUGGUGCUAGGGAGGAGGGUAAUAACAGGGCAUUGGUGCUAGAUAGUGGGGUAAUAACAGGGCAUUGGUGCUAGGGAGUGGGGUAAUAAGAGGGCAUUGGUGCUAGGGAGUGGGGUAAUAACAUUGGUGCUAGGGAGUGGGGUAAUAACUUUGGUGCUAGGAAGUGGGGUAAUAACAGGG